rnacentral:rRNA from 1 species
AUAAGUAGGGGGCGAGCGUUAUCCGGAAUUAUUGGGCGUAAAGAGUGCGUAGGUGGUUACCUAAGCGCAGGGUUUAAGGCAAUGGCUCAACCAUUGUAUGCCUUGCGAACUGGGCUACUUGAGUGCAGGAGAGGAAAGCGGAAUUCCUAGUGUAGCGGUGAAAUGCGUAGAUAUUAGGAGGAACACCAGUGGCGAAGGCGGCUUUCUGGACUGUAACUUACACUGAGGCACGAAAGCGUGGGGAGCAAACAGGAUUAGAUACCCUGGUAGUCCACGCUAUAAACGAUGAGUGCUAGGUGUCGGGGGUCAAACCUCGGUGCCGCAGUUAACACAUUAAGCACUCCGCCUGGGGAGUACGGCCUCAAGGCUGAAACUCAAAUGAAUUGACGGGG